rnacentral:rRNA from 1 species
CGCCUUGCCAGCCCGCUCAGAAACUCAAAGGAAUUGACGGGGGCCCGCACAAGCGGCGGAGCAUGUGGAUUAAUUCGAUGCAACGCGAAGAACCUUACCUGGGUUUGACAUACACCGGAAAACCGUAGAGAUACGGUCCCCCUUGUGGUCGGUGUACAGGUGGUGCAUGGCUGUCGUCAGCUCGUGUCGUGAGAUGUUGGGUUAAGUCCCGCAACGAGCGCAACCCUUGUCUUAUGUUGCCAGCACGUGAUGGUGGGGACUCGUAAGAGACUGCCGGGGUCAACUCGGAGGAAGGUGGGGACGACGUCAAGUCAUCAUGCCCCUUAUGUCCAGGGCUUCACACAUGCUACAAUGGCCAGUACAGAGGGCUGCGAGACCGUGAGGUGGAGCGAAUCCCUUAAAGCUGGUCUCAGUUCGGAUCGGGGUCUGCAACUCGACCCCGUGAAGUCGGAGUCGCUAGUAAUCGCAGAUCAGCAACGCUGCGGUGAAUACGUUCCCGGGCCUU